AUCACUGGCUGCCCAGAGCUUGACAUGGAUCCUCAUGGACCCUUCUUACUUCCUCCCAAAUUCUCCUUCUGACUCGGUCUGUUAGGGGCCUGGGGGAAGAAAUUUGGGAUAGUGAUGAGCAGAAUGAGGACACUAACCUUGGACCUUUGACCCCAGAUCCUUGGCUUCUCCCUUGAAGAAUGCAUUUAAUUGUACUUGGAAAUGGAUAAUACUUUACAGCAACGUGAGGAAUUGAAGACUGAUAGGCACAAUGAUGAGAUUAACAAAGACAAGGUAACAAGAGAGUGGAAGACAUUUUCCUUUUAAGAAUUUUUUUUAAUUGGGGUGCCUGGGUAGCUCAGUCCGUUGGGCAUCCAACCUCGGCUCAGGCCAUGAUCUCGAGGUUGGUGAGUUCGAGCCCCACGUCAGGCUCCGUGCUGACAGCUUGGGGCCUGGAGCCUGCUUUGGAUUCCGUGUCUCCUUCUCUCUCUGCCCCUCCCUCGUGUCUCUCAGAAAUAAUAAAUGAAUAAACUUUAAAAAAAAGAAUUUUUUAAAUUGCUUUACUUCAGCAUGGUGGAAAUUUAACUAUUCAUUACUUUAUGCAUUUAGUCCAUGGUUAUUGUAUAAAAAUGUUUAAAUACUGAUUUAAAAAAAAGAAAAAACUAACGGUGCCUGGGUGGCUCAGUCGGUUGAGUAUCCAACUGACUCUUGAGUUCCGCUCAGGUCAUAAUCUCAAGGUCGUGAGAUCGAGCCCCACAUUGGGCUUUAAGCUGGGUAUGGAGCCUGCUUAAGAUUCUCUCUCUCUCUCUCUCUCUCUCUCUCCCUCCACUGCUUGGUUUGUGCUCUUUCUCUUGAAAAAAAGAAAAUAGAAAUCACUAAUUUCAGUUCCAGCAACGGGAUGUAUGUACGUAGAUACAUACACAUCCUUGUCCAGUUGAGUUGUUCUUUGUGCAUAUAAUUAUUAAUUAUAAAGAUCAUAUAUUAAUAAGUAUUAAUUAUGUAUUUCUAUCUCCACAUGCCUUCAUUUUUACUUAGAAAACCUAGAAAAAUUCUGGAACUAUGUGUCCAUGUCAGUAAAUAAAUCCAUAUGAUUUUUUAAUGA